rnacentral:rRNA from 1 species
UACGUAGGGUGCGAGCGUUAAUCGGAAUUACUGGGCGUAAAGCGUGCGCAGGCGGUUUUGUAAGCCAGAUGUGAAAUCCCCGGGCUUAACCUGGGAAUGGCAUUUGGGACUGCAAGGCUAGAGUGUGGCAGAGGAGACUGGAAUUCCUGGUGUAGCAGUGAAAUGCGUAGAUAUCAGGAGGAAUACCGAUGGCGAAGGCAGGUCUCUGGACCGAUACUGACGCUGAGGCGCGAAAGCGUGGGGAGCAAACAGG